rnacentral:rRNA from 1 species
UACGUAGGGUGCAAGCGUUAAUCGGAAUUACUGGGCGUAAAGCGUGCGCAGGCGGUUAUGCAAGACAGAUGUGAAAUCCCCGGGCUCAACCUCGAAACUGCACUUGAUACUGCCUUGCUCGAGUACUGGAGAGGAGAUUGGAAUUUACGGUGUAGCAGUGAAAUGCGUAGAUAUCGUAAGGAAGACCAGUGGCGAAGGCGAAUCUCUGGACAGUUACUGACACUGAGGCACGAAGGCCAGGGGAGCAAACGGG